rnacentral:rRNA from 1 species
UACGUAGGGGGCAAGCGUUGUCCGGAUUUAUUGGGCGUAAAGGGUGCGUAGGCGGCGCGGUAAGUCGGGUGUGAAAUUUCGAGGCUUAACUUCGAAACUGCAUUCGAUACUGCCGUGCUUGAGGACUGGAGAGGAGACUGGAAUUUACGGUGUAGCGGUGAAAUGCGUAGAUAUCGUAAGGAAGACCAGUGGCGAAGGCGGGUCUCUGGACAGUUCCUGACGUGAGGCACGAAGGCCAGGGGAGCAAACGGG